rnacentral:misc_RNA from 1 species
CAAUUCCAUUAAAUAAAACUCAAUGUAUAUCCAUAACAGAAGUUAAAAAUGCUACUUUUCAAAUUCCAGAAUUAAAGGAACUACUCACUCAUAGUGAGUUUAACAAGCAUAAAGUAAUGAAAAUAAAAGAAUAUAAAACUUGUCUGAAGAAUUAGAAUAAAAGAACCUAGAGAAAGAUUCUAUAGCUAUGGACUUGUGGGACUUUUCUCUUCCUUGGCAUUAAUGCAAUUCCUCUUCAAGAUGGCUUGGGAACUAGGGUUUUCAAGAAGUCUUUUCUCAAAGAUCUUUCUUUUCU